CGAGUCAGCGGCAUGUCGCGAGGUUAACCCGUUAUGUGGGGUAGUCGUAGCGAAAGCGAAUCCUAAGAGGGUGUCAAGUGGCAUGUCCUGGACCCGAAGCGGGGUGAUCUACCCAUGGCCAGUGUGAAGCAGCUGUAAGAGGUUGUGGAGGCGCGAACCCACUUAGGUUGAAAACUGAGGGGAUGAGCUGUGGGUAGGGGUGAAAGGCCAAUCAAACUCC
rnacentral:rRNA from 1 species